CAACCAUCAAGCCCCCGGGCUUGCGUUGGGGUCCUGCGGCUGCCCGCAGGCCCCGAAAGACAGUGGCGGGCUCGCGAACGCGACCGAGCGCAGUAACAUUCUCUUCGCUCUGGGCGCGCCGCGGGUUACCAGCCGUGAAACCCCCCAUUUCUCAA
rnacentral:misc_RNA from 1 species